AUGGAUUUCUCCAUCCUAAGCUGGAAUGUGCGGGGGCUGAACAACCCCGCGAAAAGGAAGGCAGUGCAGACAUUUGUGUCUGAUCUGAAAUGCAACAUUGUUUGUCUACAAGAGAUGAAGAUUAGUGAUCUGACCAAUGCGCUGGUAAUUGAGACCCUGGGGCCAAGAUUCAGAGACAACUUCAUCUUCCUACCGGCGGUUGGCUCCAGGGGAGGCAUUCUCAUCGCAUGUUCUGAUGAUUUUGAAAUCACUAGUGCUCCUAUGCCUGUCAGUGUUUACUGUGUCUCUGGCACGAUAAGAUGCAAAUCUGAUGGAGAAGUUUGGUCGAUCACCGGUGUCCACGGGCCGUAG
rnacentral:rRNA from 1 species